CCUACGGGAGGCAGCAGUGGGGGAUAUUGCACAAUGGGGGGAACCCUGAUGCAGCGACGCCGCGUGGGUGAAGAAGCGCCUCGGCGCGUAAAGCCCUGUCAGCAGGGAAGAAAAUGACGGUACCUGAAGAAGAAGCCCCGGCUAACUACGUGCCAGCAGCCGCGGUAAUACGUAGGGGGCAAGCGUUAUCCGGAUUUACUGGGUGUAAAGGGGGCGCAGACGGCGAUGCAAGCCAGGAGUGAAAGCCCGGGGCCCAACCCCGGGACUGCUCUUGGAACUGCGUGGCUGGAGUGCAGGAGGGGCAGGCGGAAUUCCUGGUGUAGCGGUGGAAUGCGUAGAUAUCAGGAGGAACACCGGUGGCGAAGGCGGCCUGCUGGACUGCAACUGACGUUGAGGCCCGAAAGCGUGGGGAGCAAACAGGAUUAGAUACCCCUGUAGUC
rnacentral:rRNA from 1 species